UAGGUAUUCCAAUGUGGGUUAAUUCUGAGUAUCUUGAAAUAAAUCAAAACCUUCAACAACGGAUCUCUUGGCUCUGGCAUCGAUGAAGAACGCAGCGAAAUGCGAAAAGUAAUGUGAAUUGCAGAAUUCAGUGAAUCAUCGAAUCUUUGAACGCACAUUGCGCCCGCUGGUACUCCGGCGGGCACGCCUGUCCGAGCGUCAUUUCAACCCUCAGGCCCCGCCUUCACAGGCGCGGGACUGGUGUUGGGGCCCGGCCGCCUCACCGGCGGCCGUCCCCUAAAUGCAGUGGCGGUCACGCCGCAAUCCCUUGCGUAGUAAUCUAACCUCGCACUGGAAAGCGACGCGGUCCACGCCUGUAAAACCCCAAUUUUCAAUGGUUGACCUCGGAUCAGGUGGGAAUACCGCUG
rnacentral:rRNA from 1 species